rnacentral:rRNA from 1 species
CCUACGGGUGGCAGCAGUGAGGAAUAUUGGUCAAUGGCCGGAAGGCUGAACCAGCCAUGCCGCGUGAAGGUCAGUGCCCUAUGGGCGUUAAACUUCUUUUGUGCGGGAGCAAUAAUGGUCACGUGUGGCCAGACGAGAGUACCGUACGAAUAAGCAUCGGCUAACUCCGUGCCAGCAGCCGCGGUAAUACGGGGGAUGCAAGCGUUAUCCGGAUUUAUUGGGUUUAAAGGGUGCGUAGGCUGUGAGGUAAGUCAGCGGUGAAAUGCCCCCGCCCAACGGGGUGAAGUGCCAUUGAUACUGCCUGGCUGGAAUGCGGAUGCGGUGGGAGGAAUGUGUGGUGUAGCGGUGAAAUGCAUAGAUAUCACACAGAACACCGAUUGCGAAGGCAUCUCACGAAUCCGCGAUUGACGCUGAUGCACGAAAGCGUGGGUAUCAAACAGGAUUAGAUACCCUAGUAGUC